rnacentral:misc_RNA from 1 species
GAUGAAGAACGUAGCGAAAUGCGAUAAUUAAUGUGAAUUGCAGAAUUUAGUGAAUCAUCGAAUCUUUGAACGCACAUUGCGCCCCUUGGUAUUCCGGGGGGCAUGCCUGUUCGAGCGUCAUUUCAACCCUCAAGCUCUGCUUGGUCUUGGGCCGCGCCGGCGACGGCGGGCCUCAAAAACAGUGGCGGCGCCAUCUGGUUCCUCAGCGUAGUAAUUCUUCUCGCUGUUGGGCCCGGGUGGCCGCUGGCCAGCAACCCCAAAUUUUCUAUGGUUGACCUCGGAUCAGGUAGGGAUACUCGCUGAACUUAAGCAUAUCAAUAAGCGGAGGA